CUCUCCCACCCUUUGUGAACGUACCUCUGUUGCUUUGGCGGCUCCGGCCGCCAAAGGACCUCCAAACUCCAGUCAGUAAACGCAGACGUCUGAUAAACAAGUUAAUAAACUAAAACUUUCAACAACGGAUCUCUUGGUUCUGGCAUCGAUGAAGAACGCAGCGAAAUGCGAUAAGUAAUGUGAAUUGCAGAAUUCAGUGAAUCAUCGAAUCUUUGAACGCACAUUGCGCCCCUUGGUAUUCCGGGGGGCAUGCCUGUUCGAGCGUCAUUACAACCCUCAAGCUCUGCUUGGAAUUGGGCACCGUCCUCACUGCGGACGCGCCUCAAAGACCUCGGCGGUGGCUGUUCAGCCCUCAAGCGUAGUAGAAUACACCUCGCUUUGGAGUGGUUGGCGUCGCCCGCCGGACGAACCUUCUGAACUUUUCUCAAGGUUGACCUCGGAUCAGGUAGGGAUACCCGCUGAACUUAAGCAUAUCAAUAAGCGGAGGAAGGAUCAUUACCGAGUUUUCGGGCUUCGGCUCGACUCUCCCACCCUUUGUGAACGUACCUCUGUUGCUUUGGCGGCUCCGGCCGCCAAAGGACCUCCAAACUCAGUCAGUAAACGCAGACGUCUGAUAAACAAGUUAAUAAACUAAAACUUUCAACAAC
rnacentral:rRNA from 1 species